UACAGAGGGUGCGAGCGUUAAUCGGAAUUACUGGGCGUAAAGCGCACGUAGGUGGCGACGUAAGUCGGGUGUGAAAGCCCCGGGCUCAACCUGGGAAUUGCAUUCGAGACUGCAUUGCUGGAGUACGGAAGAGGAAGGCGGAAUUCCCGGUGUAGCGGUGAAAUGCGUAGAUAUCGGGAGGAACAUCAGUGGCGAAGGCGGCAUCCUGGACCGGCAUUGACGCUGAGGAGCGAAAGCCAGGGGAGCAAACGGG
rnacentral:rRNA from 1 species